GUGGGGAAUAUUGCGCAAUGGGCGAAAGCCUGACGCAGCCAUGCCGCGUGAAUGAUGAAGGUCUUAGGAUUGUAAAAUUCUUUCACCGGGGACGAUAAUGACGGUACCCGGAGAAGAAGCCCCGGCUAACUUCGUGCCAGCAGCCGCGGUAAUACGAAGGGGGCUAGCGUUGCUCGGAAUUACUGGGCGUAAAGGGCGCGUAGGCGGACAGUUUAGUCAGAGGUGAAAGCCCAGGGCUCAACCUUGGAAUUGCCUUUGAUACUGGCUGUCUUGAGUACGGGAGAGGUGAGUGGAACGCCGAGUGUAGAGGUGAAAUUCGUAGAUAUUCGGAAGAACACCAGUGGCGAAGGCGACUCACUGGCCCGUUACUGACGCUGAGGCGCGAAAGCGUGGGGAGCAAACAGGAUUAGAUACCCCUGUAGUCC
rnacentral:rRNA from 1 species